rnacentral:rRNA from 1 species
ACUCCUACGGGAGGCAGCAGUAAGGAAUAUUGGUCAAUGGGCGGAAGCCUGAACCAGCCAUCCCGCGUGCAGGAUGAAGGCCCUAUGGGUUGUAAACUGCUUUAGACUGAGAAGAAACCCCUCAAUGCGUUGGGGGCGUGACGGUAUCAGUAGAAUAAGCACCGGCUAACUCCGUGCCAGCAGCCGCGGUAAUG